AUACGAAGGGUGCAAGCGUUACUCGGUAUUACUGGGCGUAAAGCGUGCGUAGGUGGUUGUUUAAGUCUGUCGUGAAAGCCCUGGGCUCAACCUGGGAAUGGCGAUGGAAACUGGGCGACUAGAGUGUGGAAGAGGGUAGUGGAAUUCCUGGUGUAGCAGAGAAAUGCGUAGAGAUCAGGAGGAACAUCCGUGGCGAAGGCGACUGCCUGGGCCAACACUGACACUGAGGCACGAAAGCGUGGGGAGCAAACAGGAUUAGAUACCCUGGUAGUCCACGCCCUAAACGAUGCGAACUGGAUGUUGGGUGCAAUUUGGCACGCAGUAUCGAAGCUAACGCGUUAAGUUCGCCGCCUGGGGAGUACGGUCGCAAGACUGAAACUCAAAGGAAUUGACGGGG
rnacentral:rRNA from 1 species